GGGAACGCUACAUAAAGGAGGCAGGUCUCCCCGGUGCUCUCUCUCUCUGCGUUCAAUUGCAUGCAUGACUUCCGGUCCGAAGUGUUGUCUCGCGGCGGAGCGCUUGAGCUGCCGUGCCCCGCUAUUAGCGUACGCUACUCCCGUUGGCCUGCGUUGGUACCGCAUGUAGCUGUAGGCUCCUCCCCCUGUUAUCGUCAGUGUGCCGCCAAUCGAGUCAACAGAUGAGGGACGGCUACUGAGCAACCUGAACGGCUGAACCCUGCUGCUUUGUCUUAUAUUUCGUCUGCAGUUUCAAUUACAGCGCCGUCCGCUGUUGUGUUUACAGCUUUGUCUGUUGUCCUUGUUUAUAGCGCUGUUUGUUGUCUGUUGCCUACAGCGUGGCAACAGAUUUGGCGUUGUGUUACCACGGCCGGAACCGUUACAGCCAUUUUCAUAAGUGUGCCGCCUUGGCCAUUGGAGGUCUGUGGUGGUGGCGGUGUCCCUUUUCUUCCUGUGUGCUGUGCUUCCCUGGGAUUUGUGUUUGUGUGUGUGAUUAUCAUUUACCCGGGUGAUUUAUAUUAUUUGGACCCUUCCCUUCGCUAGUCCCCCCAUUCACAUCAGCCUCCGCCUUAACAGUUUAUUGUGUGAUUAGUCCAUUGGAUUAAUUAAAUAAAAUAUAUAUUGUUAAAACUGUGAACCACGUCUCCUGCCAUUAGAGUCAACUUACUUGCGUGUCCUAAAUUAAAUCUUUGGGUG
ensembl:lncRNA